AUUUUAUAUGAUAUAUUGUACAUCUAUCCUGCGAUUUACACAGAUUUCAAAACAAUAGGUUUUCAAAAAAAUCUCCUUUUUCGUAUACAAAAACAGCAACAUGAAACUUUUUAAUCAGUAUAUCUAUAUAGAUUAUAUACUAUAUGUCCCAUAUUCCAAUAAUGAGUAAAUGAUUUUGAGGUUAGGAGUUUUCUAAUGCAUUUCAAGUUCGAAUCGGCUUGAAUACUGUGCGAAUAGAAACGUUUGAAAUAAGUGAAAGUAUUUAUUCGAACGCAAAGUAGUUAUUAAAUAUUAUAAUGGCUGGUAUUGUAAAAUCCAUGAUGGAGAUUUAUUACGACCCUUUCAAAUGGUCAGUAGUAAAGAGCAUUGGAUUCUUCGCAUUAGGCGUGAAGAUUGCUCUUGAAUGCAAAGGAAUGACUCUAAUGCCACCGAGUGCUGUUUAAAAAUGGAAAUACAAUACUCAUUAAUGCAUUUUUAUUAUUUUUAUUUUACAAAUACUUAAAAAAAAAUUUUGAAAAAUGUUUUUUUACUUACAUAUCUUUUCAAGAUACUGAAUUUUUUUUCAUUGAAUAUUUAUACAUCAAAUAACAGAAAUAUGAAUGAAACAAAUGUUUUGAAUAGAUAAAACAUUACAAACAGUUACAUAUGCAUGUAAAUAUUUUAUGUAUCUUUAUUAAGAUGAAUAGAUUGUAUAAAAUAUGUCAUUAAAUAUAUUUUCUUUUGUGAAUCACGA